rnacentral:rRNA from 1 species
AUUGAACGCUGGCGGCAGACCUAACACAUGCAAGUCGAACGGUAACAGGAAACAGCUUGCUGUUUCGCUGACGAGUGGCGGACGGGUGAGUAAUGUCUGGGAAACUGCCUGAUGGAGGGGGAUAACUACUGGAAACGGUAGCUAAUACCGCAUAACGUCGCAAGACCAAAGAGGGGGACCUUCGGGCCUCUUGCCAUCGGAUGUGCCCAGAUGGGAUUAGCUAGUAGGUGGGGUAACGGCUCACCUAGGCGACGAUCCCUAGCUGGUCUGAGAGGAUGACCAGCCACACUGGAACUGAGACACGGUCCAGACUCCUACGGGAGGCAGCAGUGGGGAAUAUUGCACAAUGGGCGCAAGCCUGAUGCAGCCAUGCCGCGUGUAUGAAGAAGGCCUUCGGGUUGUAAAGUACUUUCAGCGGGGAGGAAGGGAGUAAAGUUAAUACCUUUACUCAUUGACGUUACCCGCAGAAGAAGCACCGGCUAACUCCGUG